rnacentral:rRNA from 1 species
CGCGGGGGCAACCCUGGCGGCGAGCGGCGAACGGGUGAGUAAUACAUCGGAACGUGUCCAGUAGUGGGGGAUAACCAGUCGAAAGAUUGGCUAAUACCGCAUACGAUCUACGGAUGAAAGCGGGGGACCGCAAGGCCUCGCGCUAUUGGAGCGGCCGAUGUCGGAUUAGCUAGUUGGCGGGGUAAAAGCCCACCAAGGCGACGAUCCGUAGCUGGUCUGAGAGGACGAUCAGCCACACUGGAACUGAGACACGGUCCAGACUCCUACGGGAGGCAGCAGUGGGGAAUUUUGGACAAUGGGGGCAACCCUGAUCCAGCCAUGCCGCGUGAGUGAAGAAGGCCUUCGGGUUGUAAAGCUCUUUCGGCGGGGACGAAACGGUCCGUGACAACACCACGGACUAAUGACGGUACUCGCAGAAGAAGCACCGGCUAACUACGUGCCAGCAGCCGCGGUAAUACGUAGGGUGCAGGCGUUAAUCGGAAUUACUGGGCGUAAAGCGUGCGCAGGUGGCUCCUUAAGUCAGAUGUGAAAUCCCCGGGCUUAACCUGGGAACUGCGUUUGAAACUGGGGAGCUAGAGUGUGGAAGAGGGGGGUGGAAUUCCAGGUGUAGCAGUGAAAUGCGUAGAUAUCUGGAGGAACACCGAUGGCGAAGGCAGCCCCCUGGGCUAACACUGACGCUC